CCUAAUCUCAAUCCUACCUUUAGCAAUAGUGUUAAAAUGAUUCCCCCUGCUGGUGUAAGCAGAGGAAUUCCCUUGCUAUAUUUAUAUUCUAAUCUAAACCAUAAUCUGAAUCCUAAUCUGAAACAUAAUCCCAAUACUAUUAAUUAUAAACCUAAUAUUAAACAUAAAUUUACUAAUAAACCUGAUAAUAAAUCUAGUACUUAUUCUAAACCGAAUAAUAAUCCUUAAUUUAAUCUUAAUCCCAAAGGUUUCCCUCUACUAAUAUCAGUAAUGAUAUUAGUAAAGGGAAUGUAAACUAAAACACAGUGGUAUGUUGCUGCCAUCUACUGGCUAUUUUCAGUAUUGCAGUUUCCCAUCUCUUACAUUGAAGACAUUAUGUCCAAUGCAAUGCGAUCUGUGCUGGGCAACUGAAAAUGCCCAGCACUGAUCAGAAUGGCAUUGAGGCAUAGGGGGUGACCAUCCAGGGUCUGUUCAGGGUCUCCCAAGCACCAGAUCACUUGAGAGAAUGACUGUAGCUGAGCUUGAUCGCUCAGCUGCAGUGUUCUUUGUGGAUUUAAAGGGCUCUGCAUGCAGCUCAUCAAAAAGUCUGGGGCCUCUAAAUGGCCCCAACUGACAGAGGGAAGCCCCAGCUAUCUAUUGAUACCUAGGUUUCCUGGUGUGAGCAGAUAUUAAACCCUGUUCACACUACAUUGCUGUCUAUGGGGAUUUAAAGCCCCAUUAAAAGAGCUGCUUGCCGACCGACCUCACUUUGAGCUCUGCGUGCAGCUCAUCAAAAAGCCUGGGGCCACUAAAAAUGGCCCCAGCUGACCGAGGGGACCCCCAGGUUUCUAAUGAUACCUGGGAUUCCUAGUGUGAGCAGGGAUUUAACCCUGCUCACACUGUAUUGUGCUCUAUGUGGAUUUAAAUCCCCAUUUAAACAGUUGCAUGCCGAUCUCACUUUGAGCUCUGCGUGCAGCUCAGCUGUCAGUCUGG